rnacentral:rRNA from 1 species
UACGGAGGAUGCGAGCGUUAUCCGGAUUUACUGGGUGUAAAGGGAGCGUAGACGGCUGUGCAAGUCUGGAGUGAAAGGCAUGGGCUCAACCUGUGGACUGCUUUGGAAACUGUGCAGCUUGAGUGUCGGAGAGGCAAGUGGAAUUCCUAGUGUAGCGGUGAAAUGCGUAGAUAUUAGGAGGAACACCAGUGGCGAAGGCGGCUUACUGGACUGUAACUGACGUUGAGGCUCGAAAGCGUGGGGAGCAAACAGG